CUCCCAGCCACCCGAACCCUUUUUCAAACUCCAACCGCCCCAGCGCGUUCCCACACGGGGCUGCGCCGAACCACGCCAGGCACAAGAGCCAUGCUGGAAUCUACACAUCAAAAGAGACCACAACCUGAGACCCUCUGCAUCAGUACCAUCUCUGAGGAGGAAGGCGAGGGAUGUAUCUACAAGCAUUUUCCUAAAACAGGACAGAGGCAGUCACCUAAGUGUUAAUUUAAGUGGAGUAGACCCACGGGACAUACGCUGCUGAACACAUCAUUGACAUGUAUCCACAGCCAUUCGAGGAAGAAACAUCUGAGUCCGUGACACUUUGAGAACUACUAGAGACCAGGCACCUGCCCACCUAAUGCAGUAAAUGUACUUCUGUUCUUGGCGAUAACCUGCAGGAGAACAUCAGGCAGAUGUGCUAGAGGGGCUCUGAAGGCUAGAACAAAAGACAGAAGAAUCUGUCCACACACUCAGUUUGCAGAUUACUGCAAAGGAAGAAGAAAGUUCAUUUUACCUGUAAUAUUCUGUAUGCAAGAGAAGACUACAAAAUGAUGCAACACUAACAUGAUAGCAGGCAACAUCUGCUUACUAGAACUGCUGUUGAGGAGUGACCGUGAAAUGUAGAGAAGACUGAAGAGACGCAGAGCAUUCUGUGAAGAGGGAGAAGGUGGGGAACACUCUACAUAGAAGACUUUAUUCACUAACAGAUUUCAGGGACGUUCCUCCAACCUACUUCUGACCCAGCAGCAGUGCCUGAGCCAAUUUGAGUUGAACAAAAAGGUGCUCACUGAACUGUGCUACGUCCUACAACCCGAACCAGAGCUUCACAACAUGACAAAUAUCGCCCUGUCAGUUCACUUUAACGUUUGGUGCACUCAAACCCAUCCAAGCAGAGGAAAAGAAACAUGUCCACACAUGCUGUUCAUUGGUGUGUCUGUAAAGUCAUAGAGAUCAUCUGUUGCAGGCAAGGACAGUAUAUGGUCCCCUUGCUUAGGAGAGACGAGCAGAAGGAGAAGGCAUGACACAUUAUUGGGUUAGUGGGAUUCCCAAUGGUGCAGGAAAUUGUCACCUGCAUACAUGUUGCUCUGUGCACCCCUAAUAUCCACAGAUAGGGGUAGAGGAACCAUCCUAUAGACAUAUAGUUGGUGUGUGACCAUACCAAGAAUAUCGUGUUGGCAUCACAUUCAUCUUGCUACAGUUGUCAUGACAACUGUCUUCAGGACUCCUGGAGAAAUCUAGACUGGCUGUAGUAUAAACAUGAGUAUAGGAUCCUUGGAAGAGGAGUUGGCCAUUCAGCCCCUUGAGCGUGUUCUGUCAUUUAAUGACAUCAUGGCUGACAUGUGGAUUAACUUCAUAUACCUAUCUUUGACCAUAUCCCAUGAUACCUUUGCUUAAGAAAAAGGUUCUAUCGCAGAUGUAAAACUAACAACAGACCUCACAUCAAACUGCCCUUUGAGGAAGAGAGUUCCAAGCAUCUGCAUCUACCACCCGUUGUAUGUAGAAGUGCUUCCUAACAACUCUCCUGAACAGUCUGGCCCUAAGUUUUACACUACACUGCUUAGUUCUAGAAUUACCAACCAGUGGAUAUCAUUUAUUUUUAUCUAUCCUGUUUUUCCCUAAUCGGAUCACCCCUUAACCUUCUAAAUUCUGGUGAUAACAGACUUCAUUUGUGUGAUCUCAACUCAUCUACAUCCAGCUGUCAACAAUGCCUGGCACCUUGAAAAUACAGAGCUUGGGAGGAAGAGAAUGGGCAGGUAGGCAGGAAUUAUCCUGGACUUCGUCUAAUCAGAUAAUUUGUCAAAGAACAUGUUCCAAUAAGAAAAGGGAUGGUCCUGGACCUCAUUUAUGGUGAUAAUCAAAGGGAGUGUUUUUUGUGACUUAAAUCCUAUGUCCAAUCAGUAUCACAGGGUUCAGUGCUGGGUUUCUUGCUGUUUGAAGUGUAUAUUAAUGAUCCAGAUGUGAAUGUGGGAAGUAUGAUCAGUAAGUUCACGGAUGACAUAAAACUUGGUGGCAGGGUAGGU